ACACACACACACACACACACUUAACUAUAGCAUGUUGGUCAAAGGGAUCAGAAAACUAAAUGAAGAGAUAAUCACAGCGGUAAGGAUGUCUUUGAGGUUCUCUAUUGGAACAUAAUCAUUUGGUGGCUUUCUGACUUCACAUUCCAUUCCCUCACAUGCUGUUCUAGUUUCCUUCCUGUUGCUGAGCAAGCAGCAUCGGGGAGGGAAGGGAUUACAUGGCUCACGCUUCAGGUCACAGUCCAUCACUGAGGGAUGUCAGGGAGUAUGGAGCAGAAACCAUGGAAGAAUGCUACUUGCUUUCCUCACUCCUGUGUCCUAGCAUCUAGACCCAACUGUCCUUCCCAUCCAUCCCCAGUCUGUACAGUCCGGCUCAGCACUCUAGUAUCUCUAGGGUGGUUGUGAGUCCCCAUGUGGCAGUUGAGCUGUCCUGGAAAGGGCCCAACCGGAACAACCAGGCGCCAAAGGUUCAGCUCAUGUGGAGUUGGCUCCUGGGCAAGUCCAUAAGAGUUGCCAGCUGAAGAGAAAAACCACAAAAUGGUUUGCCCUGAAGCCUUUUCUGAUGUGUGGUCAAGAGUGCGCUGCAGCCUUUCUCCGCCCCUACUACCCUCCCCAUCCCCUGAAUAAACUCUAUUCUAUACUAAGAAAAACAAAAGAGUGCACUGUGAAUGUUGUUUUGUUUUGAAACUGGACUUUGUCUUCAUUCACUAGAUUGAAUUCCUUGAGGGAAGUGUGGGCCAAGACUUUGCAUCACAAAUAUGGGUCCUGGUAGUUGGUAAAUGAUCACAGAAAUGAAUAGUAAAUGAAGGGGAGAAAUCAACCCCUCAGCUGUGUUUAAGAAGCAAGCCUUGAGGCUGGAGAGAUGGUUAAGAGCACUUGCAGUUGCUGGGAACCCAGGCUCAGUUCCCAGGACCAACAUGACUGCUCAGAGCUGUCUACCUUCCAAGGAGUUACAGACUUCCAGGAGAUGGGUGCCCUCUUCUGGCCUCCGAAGGUAUCAGGCACACACAUGGCAGACAUACACAGGCAUGCUGUUAGCAUACAGCUGAUCCCACCGGCUUCCCUUCAGGGAUCUACAGCUGCUUCAACACCUGCUGUGACCAGGUGCACCAGGUGCACCAGGUGUGUGUGGCCAUAAAAGGGCCCCAGUACUCCAAGAUCUCUGUCUCUGUUCUGUCUCUCUGUUCCCGGCAUUCUCUUCUUCUUCCUGUUCUCAGCUCUCACCCGGCCUCUCUCCCUCUCCCCGACUUUUUCUCUGUCCCCAUGGCUCUUCUCCCGUCUGCUUGUCUACAUGUCCACUCAAACCCCUUCCCCAGGUCCUCACUCCUCUUCCCUUCCCCAGUAAACCCCUUUUACACCAGAUCUGUUGCAUGGCAUAAUUUCUCCCAGGGUGCACCUUAGCUUGGCCCGCCAAAAGUACCUUUUGCUACAUUAUAUUUCAUAACCUGUGCAGAGCACUCAUAUACGAAAAAUUAGGAUAAAUCUUGUUUUUUCUUUUUCUAA
rnacentral:sRNA from 1 species